AGAGCUGAGUGGCUCUCCUCUCUCAGAGCAAUUACUACAAAUGAUUUAUGUGGCCAGUCAAGAGGGCCUGCCAGCGCUCUUAUUUCAUCUCCAGAAAAAGGAACUCUGCUGGAAUGUUAUCAGGGAGCUUGGGAUUCAACUGACAGCUGCCUUUUGUUUUCCCGUGAAGGCGCUUCUCCUCUGGACUGUGGCGCCCCUGCUCUUUCCGCACAGACAGCCAGAAUUCUAGACUGCAGAGCCCGGCUAGGGAAGAGCCACAGGAAGGGAACCACUGUCCAUGAGGAGGAGAGGUCUCCUUCUCCCCUUCGUAUUUAUCUCCAGAGGACAUGUACUGCAGUCCCAUUUCAGACGCGGCCGGUUCUGCCGGCUGGAAGACUGGUUCCUUACUGCUCUGUGCACACGCGAGCAGGGCACCACAUCCUGACCCCGUUACCAAGCUCAUCUUUGCUGUGCCAGGGGAACAAAGGCUCCUUGCAAUAUAGAAUUGUGAUGGUGUUUGAGGCAGGAUUCCCAGCCUCCUUUGCAGCUGGUGAUCUAACGGAGUUCCGGCUGAAAAGAUGCCUGCAGAAGUUGGGAACUCAUGAUUGGCCCGCUUCUUCUCCUGUGGCUUUCUAACUUCUCUAGUCUACAGAACAGAUAAGGUCGGUCGUGAAAAUAUAUGGGUGAAGUAACAACCACGAUGCUAAAGGCUAUCAGUUCUGCUCUUCUAGAGAAUGCCGAAUAACCCAGGUCCUAUCCCCCAAGACUUCUCCUCACUGUACACACUCCAAGAUCUGAAACACGUCUAGUUGCCAGCAUUUCAGAUGAGAGAUACUCAAACCUAUAUUUGUCCUCCAUCCUGGAAACAUCUGUGGUUUACAUUGUGAAGAAAGAGAGAACUUUGGCACAGGGGGAAGUGGGUGUUUGCCUUGGAAGUGUCAAUCAAGCGGAAAUCUGCAACUCGGUGGUGAGAUGGUCUCAUCCUAUGCCCAAUCAUCCUCCCACCUGGCGGCGGCACACUGGCAGACGGCCUCACUGCUUCUAGACUGGAGUCUGGUAUCUCCUUUGGGAAAUUAGCCCGACUAUGAGAAUGACAAAUAGAGCCCGUAUUCCCCAAGGCUUCGAGGCUAAGGAUCGCAACUUGAGAGUUCUUAUAUAUAAACGCCAGCCUCCUAGUUAGGGCAUUAAUCUCUUACGAAUGUAGAGGCAAGGAUCACCACACAUUUGAGAAAAACGUCGAACAGAAAAAGCCAGCAUCCAAUUAACAGAUGGAAAAGAGGAGAUAAAGGCAAUGAAACAAUAAUUUUUAAGUUAUUAACAUAGUCUCAAAUAAGCAAAAUAAGCACCAGGAUUGUGUAUGUGUGAGGUGUACACAUGGGUGGUCAAUAUUGAUGUCUUCAUUUUUCACCAUGUUUUUAAAAUUUUUCAAAAUUUAUUUUAUGGUAUGUGUGUGUGUGUGUGUGUAUGUGUGUGUGUGUGUGUGUGUGUGUGUGUACCAUAGAGCUCAUGUGGCCUCCUAGUCCUAUAGGGGAGCAUUUUUGCAGUUCCUAGUCCCCAGAAUCCACUGGCUCUGCACCUCUGGUGACUCACUUCACUCCAUAUUGCAUCUGUCUAGAGGUGUGUGUGUGUGUGUGCUGUGAUGUGUAUUGUAUAUAUGUGGUGUGUAUGUGUGGUAUAUUUAUGUGUGGUGUGUAUGUGAGAGAGGUAUGUGUGGUAUGUGUGUAUAUGUUUGAGGUAUGGUAUAUGUGUGUGUGUGUGAGAGAGAGAAGUGUGUAUGGUAUAUAUACGUGUAUGUUUGUGGUAUGGUAUGUGCAUAUGUGGUGUAUGUGUGGUAUGUGGUACGUGUGUGUAUGGUAUAACAGUGUGUCUGUGUGUAUAUGGUAUAGUAGUGCAUGCAUGUAUGUGUGUGUGUGUGUGUGUGUGUGUGUGUGUGUGUGUGUGUAUGUGUGUGUGUGUGGUGUGAACCACGCUACUCUUGUGAAGGCUAGGGGACAACUUUUAGGAGUUGGUUCUCACCUUUUGUUACCUUGCCGCCUACCACCUUGUCUUGGGAGUACUGGCCUCCAGUUGUGCUGCAGCAUCUGGCUUGUUAUAUGGGGCCAGGGCUUCAGUCUGGAUCAGCAGGCUUGUGUGGACAGUGCUUUUACCUGCCGAGUCACCUCUCUUGCCGUCUACCCUAGAUUUGGAAACAGGGGCUCUCAUUGAACUUGGAGGUUGCUGAUUUGGCUAGACUGGCUGGGCAAGCC